GAAAUGCGAUAAGUAAUGUGAAUUGCAGAAUUCAGUGAAUCAUCGAAUCUUUGAACGCACCUUGCGCUCCUUGGUAUUCCUUGGAGCAUGCCUGUUUGAGUAUCAUGAAAUCUUCAAAGUAAAUCUUUUGUUAACUCAAUUGGUUUCUACUUUGGUAUUGGAGGUCUUUGCAGCUUCACCUGCUCCUCUCUGUUCAUUAGCUGGAUCUCAGUGUUAUGCUUGGUUCCACUCGGCGUGAUAAGUUAUCUAUCGCUGAGGACACUGUAAAAGGUGGCCAAGGUAAAUGCAGAUGAACCGCUUCUAAUAGUCCAUUGACUUGGACAAUACUUUUAUGAUCUGAUCUCAAAUCAGGUAGGACUACCCGCUGAACUUAAGC
rnacentral:misc_RNA from 1 species